rnacentral:rRNA from 1 species
GAGGAUCCAAGCGUUAUCCGGAUUUAUUGGGUUUAAAGGGUGCGUAGGCGGUUUGAUAAGUUAGAGGUGAAAUGUUAGGGCUUAACCCUGAAACUGCCUCUAAUACUGUUGAGCUAGAGAGUAGUUGCGGUAGGCGGAAUGUAUGGUGUAGCGGUGAAAUGCUUAGAGAUCAUACAGAACACCGAUUGCGAAGGCAGCUUACCAAACUAUAUCUGACGUUGAGGCACGAAAGCGUGGGGAGCAAA